UACGGAGGAUGCGAGCGUUAUCCGGAUUUAUUGGGUUUAAAGGGUGCGUAGGCGGGCUUUUAAGUCAGCGGUAAAAAUUCGGGGCUCAACCCCGUCCGGCCGUUGAAACUGGGGGUCUUGAGUGGGCGAGAAGAAGGCGGAAUGCGUGGUGUAGCGGUGAAAUGCAUAGAUAUCACGCAGAACCCCGAUUGCGAAAGCAGCCUUCCGGCGCCCUACUGACGCUGAGGCACGAAAGUGCGGGGAUCGAACAGG
rnacentral:rRNA from 1 species